AUUUUUUUCAAAUAAUAAGCUUCAUCCUGUAUUCAUGUCUCAGACAAAAUUCCAGUUGUCUUGAUGGACAGUUGGUUUGCAUACAUUUUUAAUAAUUUAUUUUUAUCAGUGAUCAAAAGAGGAUAAUUGUCAUUUCACUUACAGAAAAAAAUUGCCCAGCGAAAUGACGGAUGUUUCAACAGAAUCUGUAAAUCUGAUGAAAUUGGAAGAGAUGUGUUUUUCCUCUUCCUUAUUUUGUUCCAUUAAAAUACUUCAAGAACAUAAUAGAGGCAGUAAAAAUUAGAUCUUUUUAGUAGUGCCAUUGAGCUCAUUGUGAGCUGGAGGUGUAAUAGAAAUUGUGCCUUAGUGUUUUAGAUGAAUCUUGAUUUCACUCUUCUGUGACAGAAGAACAAGAACAGAUGCCGUUCUAUUUUCCUUACGAGGUCAUUCUUUCAAAGCAGUAAGCAUAACAGAGAUACAUAUCUGACGUGAGAAAGUGAAGCCUGCUAUGUGAAAGAGCAUUCAACUGAAUAGUCUCACCUAAAAGGCCAGGUUGUCAACCCAGUGCACCCUCAGACUAACCAUCCUGGGCCCUGAAGGUAUGACAGGGGAAAUGAAGAGGAGUUCCCUCCAACACAGAAAGCACCACAUUGGCAGGUCGAGACUGUGACCUCUACUACAGCCCGCAGGCAGCAAUAACUCCUGUUGCUUAUGAGACAUCAGUUCAGUGGCAGAACUGACUGCUACUUUAGCCAUGGGGUAACAGUAAGUCCUGUGGAGCUUUAGACCCCAGGUCCCAAGCAAGGGGGCUGGUGUAGCCACAGGCAUGAAUUCAGAAAACAUGCCCUUCCACCUUUUUUUCCUUAAGUCUUUCCCCCAUGUAAUGUACUAGUGUAAUCAGAUCUUCUGUGCCUCACUGUGCAUUUGUGUGUGUGCAUCUGUGAAUACAAAACCAUGCAAGAAUUCAUCUAAAAAGGAGUGUAGGUAAAGACAAAUUAAUACUAGCUACAGGAUUACUAGCUAGUAAUUUGGAUCAUACCACUAACUACUUCGAAAGGAACUUGGGUAAGACUCCUUACCACUGUGACAAUUCAACAGCCAGACACUUAGUUAAGAACAACAUUCCUGCUGUCCAAAGUAGAAGAGGAUCCACCCUUCCUCAGCUGAAUGCAGAGUGGAAGAGGAUAAAUGGCAUAGAACUGGCCAACAUCAGAGGACGUUCUACAUCAAGACACAUUCCUGGAUGAGUUGUACUGCCUGAGAAGAGUAAAAAUCUCGUUAAGAGAGGAAAGGAUCUAGGUAGGUUUCUUUUGGCAUUAUAUUUCUGCAUAAACUGGACAACUAUGUCAUUUCUAAGGUUGUCCAGCUACAUGGCUUUGUGUCAUAUCAUGCUCUAGUGAGUGUCUAAUGAAUCUUGCAUUGUUACCACUGUGUACAACUUCCCGUGUAUUUUUUACUUAAUUUAGUGGAUGUAUUUUGAAUACCAACUAAAUCAUGAGCUCAUAAAUAGGUUCAUAAGGCGACCAGACUGUAUUCAGUUUAAUGAAAGAGUGAAUAUCCUGAUAUUUUGCAUCUGAAGCAGAGUAAGCAGGUGUCUUGUAUCAAGCACAGUUCAUAAUGAGCUAUAAUUUUGCACUGCAGCUGAUGCUUGCAAUUCUAUGGAAACAGUAAAACUUUGCAACAAAUUUUCUCUUCUUGUGUUUAUGUUUUGAUGUGACAUCUUCUUUUGCAAUUCAUCACCUUUGUAGCAAAAAAAAAAGAAAUCUAAGUAUGUAUGAAUUCCAUGAAAUAUGAACUUAGUAAUGUGAGAUAUGAGCUUUAAGUUGCUGCUAGACUGAAGAUCUCUUACCUCCAAAAUACGACAUUAUUGGAUUAUUUCUAAAUCUGGCAACAUUCCACAUAUUGCUUGAAAUUUGUGGAUUUAUAUUCCCACUCUUUCUGAAUUUCUUAACAGCUACAGUUCUAGUGAGAAUGUACUAAAAUUUAAUUUGUCUGUAAAUCUCUUCUGUCAUAUGCAAACACUGUAAGAUCUUCAAGAGAAUUGCUUUUUUAAAAUAAAAGACACACAAUGCCUAGAUUUUCA
ensembl:lncRNA